UGGCGAGUGGCGAACGGGUGAGUAACAUAUCGGAACAUACCCUAGGAGUGGGGGAUAACGUAGCGAAAGUUACGCUAAUACCGCAUACGAUCUAAGGAUGAAAGUGGGGGAUCUUCGGACCUCAUGCUCAUGGAGUGGCCGAUAUCUGAUUAGCUAGUUGGUGAGGUAAAGGCUCACCAAGGCGACGAUCAGUAGCUGGUUUGAGAGAACGACCAGCCACACUGAAACUGAGACACGGUCCAGACUCCUACGGGAGGCAGCAGUGGGGAAUUUUUGGACAAUGGGGGCAACCCUGAUCCAGCAAUGCCGCGUGAGUGAAGAAGGCCUUCGGGUUGUAAAGCUCUUUUGUCAGGGAAGAAACGGUGAGUUCUAAUACAGCUUGCUAAUGACGGUACCUGAAGAAUAAGCACCGGCUAACUACGUG
rnacentral:rRNA from 1 species